rnacentral:lncRNA from 1 species
UAGGUUGUACUGCAUUAGAGGUCACGAAUAUGCUGCAUUGCAUUGUUAUUGUUGAUGGGAUGGACCAAGGCGAUCUCAGUAGCCCGCUACCUGUUAUGUCUAGAUAAGACCUUUGGGAGCUCCGUAGUUAGGGGCCGGGCUCUAGUACAUGUAGUGACCUGGGAGUCCGUAGGGACCGGGCACCGACAGAGGGAGUUCUGGGAUCAUGUCUAAUCCGAGAUGUGAAAUGUUUGUGCUGUGACACAUUCCAUGAAAG